rnacentral:lncRNA from 1 species
ACUACUAGCUCUUUAAGGAUGAGAGAAAUGCUCUUCAAUAUAUGUCCACCGAUCAUGGUGUCUACCGCGUGCCGGCUGCAAUGGCAGCCAGGAGCCCAGGAUACCUGCUCGACCGUCUUGCGGAUGCUUCUGUGACAUGAACCAAGAAGCGGCUUUAGGCAUGUUUUUCAUGUGCAUCUCCCAUACUGGGUGAUAAACUGAAUAUCCUGUAGCUUUCAGGUUAGGGGACAGCUAUCGUACGAUCCUCCAUUUCGGAACGGGAUAAUUCCUAUGAGGUAUCAAAUAUGAUACUUUACGUGUAUCAAAUUUGGUAUCGCUCUGAUACCAACUGAUAUUGUACCAGCUGAUACUUGGUUGGUAUCAAUUGAUACUAGGGUGAUAUCAGCUAAUAUCCUAUCGGUAACGACUGAUACCAUG